UCAUUAUCGAGUUUUGAAGUGGGCUGCUUGCGCUGGCAUGGCAGGUGCGCGGCGGCUCCGCUCUCAUCCACUCAACCCCUGUGCACUUUGAAAAGCGAGGUUUAGUAGAGGGCAUUCAUUUGCUUUCGAACAGCUAAGCUUUUUAUUACAAACUCGUCUAUUGUCUUGUAGAAUGUGUUGCCUCUUUGUGGGCGAAUUAUAAUACAACUUUCAACAACGGAUCUCUUGGCUCUCGCAUCGAUGAAGAACGCAGCGAAAUGCGAUAAGUAAUGUGAAUUGCAGAAUUCAGUGAAUCAUCGAAUCUUUGAACGCACCUUGCGCUCCUUGGUAUUCCGAGGAGCAUGCCUGUUUGAGUGUCAUGAUCAUAUCAAUCCCUUUUUUUAAAAAAGUGGCUUGGAUUUGGAGGUCUAUGCUGGUCUGACGAUCGGCUCCUCUUGAAUGCAUUAGCUGGGCUUAUGCUCGAUGCAACAGUGUCAUAAUUUCUUUUCACUGGUGUGACUUGCAUGAAUGGUCCGCUUCGAAUCGUCUUGUCAUGAGACAAUCAUGGGUCUUUCAGACUCUCAUCUCUUUGACCUCAAAUCAGGUAGGACUACCCGGUGAACUUAAGCAUA
rnacentral:rRNA from 1 species